rnacentral:rRNA from 1 species
CCUACGGGUGGCAGCAGUGGGGAAUAUUGCACAAUGGGGGAAACCCUGAUGCAGCGACGCCGCGUGCGUGAAGAAGUAUUUCUGUAUGUAAAGCUCUAUCAGCAGGGACGAAAAUGACGGUACCUGCUUACGAAUCCCCAGCUACACACGGGCCAUCCGCCGCGGGCAUCCGACGGGGGCAACCGUUUUCCGGCGUUACUGGGUGUAAAGGGAGAGUAGACGGCAGCACAAGUCUGGAGUGAAAUGCCGGGGCUUAACCCCGUAACUGCUUUGGAAACUGUUCAGCUGGAGGGCAGGAGAGGUAAGUGGAAUUCCGAGUGUAGCGGUGAAAUGCGUAGAUAUCAGGAGGAACACCAGUGGCGAAGGCGGCUUACUGGACUGUAACUGACGUUGAGGCUCGAAAGCGUGGGGAGCAAACAGGAUUAGAUACCCUGGUAGUC